rnacentral:lncRNA from 1 species
AGAAAAUAAAGCUUCUUUUGCAAUCUCAUCUGCUCUUCGAUUUUUAUCUCUAGGAACAAAACAGAAUCUGAUAAAAUCAAAAGUUAAAGAUAGGGAGAGGAUGUCGUGGAGAAUCCCGUAGAGCUCCUUCGAUUGAAGCUCCAAAUUUAGUGCUUUGAUCAGCUGUUGCGAAUCUGAAGCAAGCGAAAGUUUUUUGUAACCAAGAUCUCUGGCUUGAUGGAUCGCGUGAAGCAUCGCCAGCGCCUCUGCCAUUAACGGAGAUCGAACGUUGGAAGCAGAAGAUCUACCAUGGCGCUCUGUGUUACAGAGGAAAUCAGAGAAGUGCCAACCAAAUCCCGCCUCUUUUGUCUCAGCUUUCCAAGCGGCGUCUGUGAACCCUCGGAUUGUAUCUAAUCCAAUCUCUUCGAUCUGGUACGGGAGUCGUAAUUGAGGAGAUUGGGGUGAUACAAGUUGAGAAGCACACCAUUCCCGAGCUUGGGAAACAGCCUGAGCCACCGCUUCGAAGUUUGUAAUUUGUCUCUUCUCAAAGAUGCGCUUAUUUCGGGAGAUCCAAAUCGUCCAUAGUAUCCAUGGCAAAAGGGGGACGUCUCCGAGUCCUGUAGGAGGCAAAUUGGUCAGGAGCUUCGAAGUUUCUAGACCUUUCCUCAGCGACGUGAUUUGGGAAGAGCAGAAUGAAGUCUUGAAGGGAGAUUUGUCCCAAAUUGAGCUUGCGAAGCUGCAAUGAAAAAACAGAUCUCUCGGAGCCAGUCGAACUCAACAACUGGAGGGUUUAGAAGCGGCCUCUCCUCCCGCAAGUUCGCAACAAGAUAGCCUGUCUUUGCAGAAUAUUCUCCGGACUUGGAGUUAGAAGAAGGACAUAUAAGGUCUGCCACUGUUAGUUCCUGAGAGAACUGAGUUGCUGGUCCCAUUGGGGUGACUGGUUUAGAAAGGGAGAUCCAUGGUUCUUGCCAAAUCUUAGAGUCUUUGCCAGUGCCAAUAGCUCUGCCAAGCUGAGUCUUAAGCAGAUCUCUUCCAAGACAUAUUCCACGCCACCCAUGCGAUGCAUUAUUGGAAACUUUGCAGUCUAGGAAGGAUGAUGAUUGGCAGUAUUUACCAAGGAGAACCUUUGCCAACAUAGAUGAAGGUUUAGUGAGUAGUCUCCAGCUCACUUUGGCUAGUAAAGCAUCAUUGAAACUAGAGUCCCACCAGAAACGUGUUAGAGCUGAUUGGAUGCGUUUGCAGAGAGAACCCGGGAGCUUGAAACAUGACAUUGUAUAGGUGGGCAUUGCCACUAGGACUGCUUUUAACAUGGUUGCUUUUCCUGCAGUGGAGAGAAACCUAGAAGACCAGCUCUUAGCUCUCUGUCUUAUGCGGUCGAUGAUGAAAUUAAACAUAUCCUUCUUCUUUCUGCCAAACAGCUCAGGAUUAGCAUAAGGUUCUGACAGCUUUGGACAUCGAAUUUACAGAAGAACAUAGUGUCAUCUGCAAAGAGUAGAUGUUUUAAUCGGGGACUGCCUUUUGCCACUCUUACACCAAAAACUAUAUGAAUCCUAUACGUUGGAGCUGCUCUAAGAUCACUCCAAGAAACACGGAAAUAAAAAACAGAGGAUUGCGGUAGUUAAGGUUUAGCUGGAGGAAAAAGAAGAUAUGUGAGAAGUUACGUUUUUACCCAUGUCAUUUAAAUUAAAAACUGAACAUGUGGCUUAAGAGAAUCAUUAUUGGUAUUAUCUUAGACUAGUUCUUAUGUUAAUUAGAUAUGAAAUAUAAUGUUUUUAUUGAUUAUAUUAUUAAGAAGGAAAAUAUCA